rnacentral:rRNA from 1 species
UUGAACGCUGGCGGCAUGCUUUACACGUGCAAGUCGAACGGUAACAGGUUAAGCUGACGAGUGGCGAACGGGUGAGUAAUGCAUCGGAACGUGCCCGAUCGUGGGGGAUAACGCAGCGAAAGCUGCGCUAAUACCGCAUACGAUCUGAGGAUGAAAGCGGGGGACCGUAAGACCUCUCGCUUUCGGAGUGGCCGAUAUCGGAUUAGCUAGUAGGUGAGGUAAAGGCUCACCUAGGCGACGAUCCGUAGCUGGUCUGAGAGGACGACCAGCCACACUGGGACUGAGACACGGCCCAGACUCCUACGGGAGGCAGCAGUGGGGAAUUUUGGACAAUGGGCGCAAGCCUGAUCCAGCCAUGCCGCGUGAGUGAAGAAGGCCUUCGGGUUGUAAAGCUCUUUCAGCUGGAAAGAAAUCGUAUCUAUUAAUACUAGGUGCGGAUGACGGUACCAGCAGAAGAAGCACCGGCUAACUACGUGCCAGCCACCGCCGUAA